UACGUAGGGGCCGAGCGUUGUCCGGAGUUACUGGGCGUAAAGCGCGCGCAGGCGGCUCGUCAAGCCUGACGUGAGAGCCCCCGGCUCAACCCUGGAAGGCCGGUGGAAACUGUCGGGCUAGAGUCCGGAAGAGGCGAGUGGAAUUCCCGGUGUAGCGGUGAAAUGCGCAGAUAUCGGGAGGAACACCAAUGGCGAAGGCAGCUCGCUGGGACGGUACUGACGCUGAGACGCGAAAGCGUGGGGAGCAAACAGG
rnacentral:rRNA from 1 species